rnacentral:rRNA from 1 species
UACAGAGGUCUCAAGCGUUGUUCGGAUUCAUUGGGCGUAAAGGGUGCGUAGGUGGCGGGGCAAGUCUGGUGUGAAAUCCCGGGGCUCAACCCUGGAACUGCACUGGAUACUGCUUUGCUAGAGUACUGGAGAGGGAACUGGAAUUUACGGUGUAGCAGUGAAAUGCGUAGAUAUCGUAAGGAAGACCAGUGGCGAAGGCGGGACUCUGGGCCGAUACUGACGCUGAGGAGCGAAAGCGUGGGGAGCAAACAGG